GAUGAACGCUAGCUACAGGCUUAACACAUGCAAGUCGCGGGGCAGCAUGGGGGUUGCUUGCAAUCCCCGAUGGCGACCGGCGCACGGGUGAGUAACGCGUAUUCAACCUGCCCUUCACCACGGGAUAACCCGGCGAAAGUCGGACUAAUACCGUAUGUUGUCCAUUGACGGCAUCCGAUUUGGACGAAAGGCUUGGCGGUGAGGGAUGGGGAUGCGUCCGAUUAGCCAGACGGCGGGGUAACGGCCCACCGUGGCUACGAUCGGUAGGGGUUCUGAGAGGGAGGUCCCCCACACUGGAACUGAGACACGGUCCAGACUCCUACGGGAGGCAGCAGUGAGGAAUAUUGGUCAAUGGGCGUAAGCCUGAACCAGCCAAGUAGCGUGCAGGAUGACGGCCCUAUGGGUUGUAAACUGCUUUUAUGCGGGGAUAAAGUGGCCCACGUGUGGGCUUUUGCAGGUACCGCAUGAAUAAGGACCGGCUAAUUCCGUG
rnacentral:rRNA from 1 species